AUUGAACGCUGGCGGCAGGCCUAACACAUGCAAGUCGAGCGGGGUUUUCGGACCUAGCGGCGGACGGGUGAGUAAUGCGUAGGAAGCUGCCCGAUAGAGGGGGAUACCAGUUGGAAACGACUGUUAAUACCGCAUAAUGUCUACGGACCAAAGUGUGGGACCUUCGGGCCACAUGCUAUCGGAUGCGCCUACGUGGGAUUAGCUAGUUGGUGAGGUAAUGGCUCACCAAGGCGACGAUCUCUAGCUGGUUUGAGAGGACGAUCAGCCACACUGGAACUGAGACACGGUCCAGACUCCUACGGGAGGCAGCAGUGGGGAAUAUUGGACAAUGGGCGCAAGCCUGAUCCAGCCAUGCCGCGUGUGCGAAGAAGGCCUUCGGGUUGUAAAGCACUUUCAGCGAGGAGGAAGGGUGGUGUGUUAAUAGCACAUCAUUUUGACGUUACUCGCAGAAGAAGCACCGGCUAACUCUGUGCCAGCCGCCGCAGUAAGAC
rnacentral:rRNA from 1 species